rnacentral:rRNA from 1 species
AUCUUCGGCAAUGGACGAAAGUCUGACCGAGCAACGCCGCGUGUGCGAUGAAGGCCUUCGGGUUGUAAAGCACUGUCGAGGGGAAACAAGCCGUAAGGUUGAGUGACCCCUGGAGGAAGCACAGGCUAAGUUCGUGCCAGCAGCCGCGGUAAGACGAACCGUGCAAACGUUAUUCGGAAUCACUGGGCUUAAAGGACGCGUAGGCGGGUGAUCAAGUCAAUGGUGUAAUCCUCCAGCUUAACUGGAGAAGUGCCUUUGAUACUGAUUGUCUAGAGGGAGGUAGGGGCAUGUGGAACUUCAGGUGGAGCGGUGAAAUGCGUAGAUAUCUGAAGGAACGCCAGUGGCGAAAGCGAUGUGCUGGACCUCUUCUGACGCUGAGGCGCGAAAGCUAGGGGAUCAAACGGGAUUAGAUACCCCGGUAGUCCUAGCCCUAAACUAUGGGUACUAGAUUGUGGACUUUCAUGGGUUCACAGUCGAAGCAAAAGUGUUAAGUACCCCGCCUGGGGAGUAUGGUCGCAAGGCUGAAACUCAAAGGAA